GUCACACGGGCAUGAAUAACAUUCAAUCACAAUUUAUCAAGCAUUUUCUAAAGUCCCAGAUCCUAUGGCUGGGUGUCGGGGAUGUGGUGAACGUUUGAAAGGUCUGAGAGAAAACACAGAUUCUAAUCAUGAUGAUGAUGAUCCUGCUGGGCUUUAUAGUCUACGGUGUAUUUUCACAUAUAUUGUUAAUUGGAUCCUUUCAGAAGUCUGUGCAGGAGCUCCCAGAGACAGGCUGAGUCUCUCCCCUUCACCAGAGCUCACCCCUGAGGCUCUGGGAGGACAGAGGACAGUCAAGAUCCCCAACAAGAAAGUCCCAGCCUGACCUGACCUCCUUUCUCUCUUCGCUUCCUGUUUGUAAGCCCUCUUGGACGGAUGCAGAAAUGGAAGCCCAGAGACGUUAACUAACUUGUACAAAGUCACACAGCUACUAAGGGGCAAAGCCAGAAUUCAAGCCAGACUUCAGUCUCCCAUUCCAGGGCUCUUUCUUCACAGCACCCAAGCCACCUGUGGAUCGGCCCUCCUGCCUGAACCUCCGCUCUGAAGUAGGUUCAGGCUCUGACGGUGACUCACAUGAGAAGAGGUCUUGGCUCAAGGGCCCUCAGCACAGGAAGUUAAUCGAGCUAUUGAAGUUGAGCCAAGGAAAGGCCCAUAAGCUCAGAGAUCGCCUCGCCAGAGAGAAGCUUUAUAAAAACAAAAGCACAGCCACAUCAACUAAAUCAUCUGAUGCUCUGAUUAAGAAGCAUGAGUGGCCACCCCAUGUGAUCUGUGAUGUGAUCUGUGCGCUCCAGCCCCGGAGACAAGAUCGGGCACAGAUUUCUGCCUUUGGGGUAGGAGGAUGGUAUUCAGGCAGGAUUACAUUUGUGGGGCUGGGGAAGGGUGAGGUGAUGUGGGAGGGAGGGAUGGGGCCUUUCAGGCCUCCAGUCUCACAGCUAUGCUGCAUCUUUUUUUAAAGCAAAUAUAAUUCGGUUUUCAGUGAACUUUAAAUGAAAUCUAAAUUUUCAAUGGAAAUUAAAAUUUGUCAUUUAGUUUUAAUUAUUUAAAAAACCGUGUGCGUUACUGAAAGUCUUAGGAGGGAGAACAACGAAGUCAUGUGUCAAAAUACUCAAAUAAGGAGAAAAUAGCAACCAUAACAGGAAUCUAAGGGAACGGUGAGUUUUGCAUCAGAACAGACUCAGUGCAGUGAGGACUUCCAAAGAGGGCUUGAUAGACUCCUUCCUUCAAGGACCACCCCCUUCUCUCCCUUUGAUGAGGGGAUUCCAGCAGGGAUCCACCAGGUAGCUGUAAAGCAAAGAAGGUCAUCUAUGGAGGGUUGACCUUGAACCCCAAAGCACUUCUUGAACUGCUAGAAGGGGCUGCCCGGCUGUUCUGGAGAUCGCAGGGUCCCGGUAUACUGGGGGCAGCCAACCUCUCAGCCCUGGGGAAAAACGUGCACACGGGAGCAGCCGGGCACGCGCCCCAAGCCCCUCCCUCUGACUGUGGCAAGACCUGUGUUUAGGGGUUACACCUGCCUCUUUUCAAAUAGCUUCUCAGUUGAAGAUUCUGCAGCGACUGUCAAUCUAGACCCUGAAUCCAGGAAUGUUCAUAGUUAGUGCUGAGCGCGCAUGACGGGACAGAGAUUUAAUCAGAGACCCGGUUUAGGGUGAUGUUGGCGGUGGCGGUGAAGCCUGACGGUAGACACCAAACCCUUAGCAGAGUGGUCCUGGAGGAGCGAGUCCGGGUAAGCAGCCAAGAUCUACCAUUCAGACAGCCCGCGUGGGCCUGACUGGUGAGUGAAUUCUGCAGAACUCUGUCUGCAUCCUGAACUGGUCAGGCCUGCCUGUGACCUUCAUCCAGACCUGUCUGGAAGGGACCGGGACAGAAGAGUGGCAAAGCCAGCGGUGAAGGACUGUCCGGAAGCUCUCCCACGUGCUCUCUCUGGACUGGCCAACCAGCACGUCUUCUCCGUCGUUCAGCUCGAAUCCCCCCCAGGCUUUUGGUGGUGGUGUUUAAUCUGAGUCUUUACCUUGCUGAGCACUAGGACACAUAGGACUUAUGCAGCCAAGAGCUGACAAAAAGGGGGUCCCUACACGGGCGCUUGGUGAUCCUGUAGCCCAGAAGGGUUUGCUCUCCCCCUGAGACCCCAUACCCCCUGAGUCCCGAGGUGCUCAAUCAGCUCCCAGGGCUGGGAGAACCUUGUGUGCCUGUCUCAGAGCCGAGUCCUCGGAGCUGGAGGUAUUGAGUGCGAGGAAAGCCAGAGGGGCCUCAGCCAGUCAACCCGUAGACUUGAUGUUGGCCAGCGCAUCUUGUGACUUCCGGUAUCAAAGAUUUCUCCCGCUGAAAGGAAGGGCUGGAGCUUCCACGGCUCAGAGGCACUCAGUGGAAUGCUCUGUUCUAUUUUAGUGACACAAUGGUCACAUUAUCCUUAAAACGAAGAAAAUGCACUUGGGGCGUAAUAAUACUGCUUCCCUUGCGUUCUGUCCCAUUCUUCCUUCCUGCCCUUCACCGCACCCUCCCCUACUCUUUGCUCUAUUUUUAUUGAUGUGAAAUUUAUAGAACAAACAAUGAACCGUUUUUAAAGCAUAUGACUCAGUGGCAUUUCGUGCAUCACAGUGUUGUGCAACCAUCACCUCCGUCUAGUUUCAAAACUUUUUCAUCACCCCAGAACAUCCCUGAAGGCAUGAAGUGGCCUCUGUGGCUUCCCCUCCCUGUCCAGGCAUGGCAGGAACCACUCAUCUGCUUUCUGUCUCUGGGGAUGUGCCUCCUCUGGACAUUUCAUAUAAACGGAAACGUGCAGUAUGUAA